rnacentral:rRNA from 1 species
UACAGAGGGUGCGAGCGUUAAUCGGAAUUACUGGGCGUAAAGCGCGCGUAGGCGGCUUUGUAAGUUAGAGGUGAAAGCCCGGAGCUCAACUCCGGAAUUGCCUUUAAGACUGCAUCGCUAGAAUCAUGGAGAGGUUAGUGGAAUUCCGAGUGUAGAGGUGAAAUUCGUAGAUAUUCGGAAGAACACCAGUGGCGAAGGCGACUAACUGGACAUGUAUUGACGCUGAGGUGCGAAAGCGUGGGGAGCAAACAGG